GACAGAGGGGGCAAGCGUUGCUCGGAAUUACUGGGCGUAAAGGGCGCGUAGGCGGGAUGGCAAGUCGGUCGUGAAAUCCCUCGGCUCAACUGAGGAUCGUCGAUCGAUACUGCCGUUCUUGAGGAUUGCAGAGGAGACUGGAAUUCCCGGUGUAGCGGUGAAAUGUGUAGAGAUCGGGAGGAACACCGGUGGCGAAGGCGGGUCUCUGGGCAACUCCUGACACUGAGGCACGAAAGCUAGGGGAGCAAACAGG
rnacentral:rRNA from 1 species